AUAUUAUCAGGUUGGGUACUCAUGAGCGUCGGAUUUAUUCUACCCAAUGUCAUAUUUCUUAUCUUUAGUUCUUGAAUUCAAGGAUAAUCAGAAGUUGCCCAGAAGAAGGAAGGAUAAAACAAAUAUAUCAUUGGUUGGUUCAAACAUCGUGCAAGGCCAGGUAUGGUUACCAACAUUUUCGUAUCAAAUAAAUGAAAGUUGCAAGGAAGUUAGAUGAAUUUAAAAUUUGAGUAGAACGUUGGGGGACGCUUCCCAGGUUAUGUCUUUUGAGGAUAGGCUUAUCCAAAAAAUUCUUGAAGUGCUCAAAAGUUGAAUAAAGUAUUUGAUCAAAUUUGUCUGCUCCACAUUUUGGGACUCAGCUAUGGUGCAAAGCUGAGUUAGCUUUGUAUUGUAGGAAAAACGAAAGGGAAGAGGACAACACAUGAGAAUGGGUCAGGCAAAGGACAGCUAAGGUAAAUAGCUAUCAAAAUCGGGCUGAAGGAGUUCUCAACAUGGGACCCACUGUAGUAUACGGACUGUAUUAUUGUAAAUGAACAUGCACCCGGAACAAGUUGUGAGCAUGUUUUAUGAACCCCAAAACAAGUUGUGAGCAUAUCCCCCAUUUUGGGAUAUGCGUGGGUAGAUCAUUUACUGUAAAUUGGCGCGAAGAGAAGUAAAAAAUUGUGCAGAGAGUAGAAACAA
rnacentral:lncRNA from 1 species